rnacentral:rRNA from 1 species
ACGGAAGGCAGCAGUGGGGAAUAUUGCACAAUGGGGGAAACCCUGAUGCAGCAACGCCGCGUGAAGGAUGAAGGCCCUUGGGUCGUAAACUUCUGUCCUUGGGGAAGAUAAUGACGGUACCCUUGGAGGAGGCCCCGGCUAACUACGUGCCAGCAGCCGCGGUAAUACGUAGGGGGCAAGCGUUAUCCGGAAUUAUUGGGCGUAAAGAGUACGUAGGCGGUCUGUUAAGCGCAGGGUCUAAGGCUACGGCCUAACCGUAGUUCGCCCUGCGAACUGGCAGACUUGAGUGCAGGAGGGGAAAGCGGAAUUCCUAGUGUAGCGGUGAAAUGCGUAGAUAUUAGGAGGAACACCAGUGGCGAAGGCGGCUUUCUGGACUGUAACUGACGCUGAGGUACGAAAGUGUGGGGAGCAAACAGGAUUAGAUACCCUGGUA